rnacentral:rRNA from 1 species
GGAGGAAAAGAAACCAACAGGGAUUGCCUCAGUAACGGCGAGUGAAGCGGCAACAGCUCAAAUUUUAAAGCUGGCGUCCUCGACGCCCGCGUUGUAAUUUGGAGAGGCAUCUUCGGUUUGGGCGCCAGCCUAUGUUCCUUGGAACAGGACGUCACAGAGGGUGAGAAUCCCGUGCUUGGCUGGCUGUCCCUCUCCAUGUGAAGUGUCUUCGACGAGUCGAGUUGUUUGGGAAUGCAGCUCAAAAUGGGUGGUAAAUUUCAUCUAAAGCUAAAUAUUGGCGGGAGACCGAUAGCGCACAAGUAGAGUGAUCGAAAGAUGAAAAGCACUUUGAAAAUAGAGUUAAAAAGUACGUGAAAUUGUUGAAAGGGAAGCGCUUGAGACCAGACUCGGCCGACGGCGAUCAGCGGCCCUUCUGGGCUGUGCACUCGUCAUCGGUUCGGGCCAGCAUCGGUCGAGACGGCGGGAUAAAGGCCCGAGGAAUGUGGCUCCUCUCGGGGAGUGUUAUAGCCUCGGGCGCAAUGCCGCCCGCCUCGACCGAGGACCGCGCUCUUUUGCUAGGAUGCUGGCGUAAUGGUCUUCAGCGACCCGUCUUGAAACACGGACCAAGGAGUCUAACAUCUAUGCGAGUGUUUGGGUGUCAAACCCUUGCGCGUAAUGAAAGUGAACGGAGGUGGGAACCCCUCCUCUGGGGGGGCGCACCAUCGACCGAUCCUGAUGUCUUCGGAUGGAUUUGAGUAGGAGCAUAGCUGUUGGGACCCGAAAGAUGGUGAACUAUGCCUGAAUAGGGUGAAGCCAGAGGAAACUCUGGUGGAGGCUCGCAGCGGUUCUGACGUGCAAAUCGAUCGUCAAAUUUGGGUAUAGGGGCGAAAGACUAAUCGAACCAUC